ACGUUAGCGGCGGACGGGUGAGUAACACGUGGGUAACCUACCUAUAAGACUGGGAUAACUCGGGAAACCGGAGCUAAUACCGGAUAAUAUUUCGAACCGCAUGGUUCGAUAGUGAAAGAUGGUUUUGCUAUCACUUAUAGAUGGACCUGCGCCGUAUUAGCUAGUUGGUAAGGUAACGGCUUACCAAGGCGACGAUACGUAGCCGACCUGAGAGGGUGAUCGGCCACACUGGAACUGAGACACGGUCCAGACUCCUACGGGAGGCAGCAGUG
rnacentral:rRNA from 1 species